rnacentral:rRNA from 1 species
UGGGGAAUAUUGGACAAUGGGCGAAAGCCUGAUCCAGCAAUGCCGCGUGAGUGAUGAAGGCCUUAGGGUUGUAAAGCUCUUUUACCAGGGAUGAUAAUGACAGUACCUGGAGAAUAAGCUCCGGCUAACUCCGUGCCAGCAGCCGCGGUAAUACGGAGGGAGCUAGCGUUGUUCGGAAUUACUGGGCGUAAAGCGCGCGUAGGCGGUUUCUCAAGUCAGAGGUGAAAGCCCGGGGCUCAACCCCGGAACUGCCUUUGAAACUAGGAGACUAGAAUCUUGGAGAGGUCAGUGGAAUUCCGAGUGUAGAGGUGAAAUUCGUAGAUAUUCGGAAGAACACCAGUGGCGAAGGCGACUGACUGGACAAGUAUUGACGCUGAGGUGCGAAAGCGUGGGGAGCAAACA